rnacentral:rRNA from 1 species
CCUACGUGCGGCAGCAGUGAGGAAUAUUGGUCAAUGGUCGGGAGACUGAACCAGCCAAGCCGCGGGAGGGAUGAAGGUACAGAGUAUCGUAAACCUCUUUUGUCAGGGAACAAAGGCGGGGACGUGUCCCCGGAUUAGUGUACCUGAAGAAAAAGCAUCGGCUAACUCCGUGCCAGCAGCCGCGGUAAUACGGAGGAUGCGAGCUGUAUCCGGAUUUAUGGGGUUUAAAGGGUGAGCAGGGGAUCUGUGAAGGCAGCGGUAAAAGCCCGGGGCUCAACCCCGGCCCGCCGUUGAAACUGGCAGUCUCGAGUUGGAGAGAAGUAUGCGGAAUGCGCGGUGGAGCGGUGAAAUGCAUAGAUAUCGCGCAGAACUCCGAUUGCGAAGGCAGCAUGCCGGCUCCACACUGACGCUGAGGCACGAAAGCGUGGGUAUCGAACAGGAUUAGAUACCCCAGUAGUC